AGCGAACGCUGGCGGCAGGCCUAACACAUGCAAGUCGAACGAACUCUCCGGAGUUAGUGGCGGACGGGUGAGUAACACGUGGGAACAUGCCUUUUGGUUCGUAACAACUCAGGGAAACUUGUGCCAAUACCGAAUGUGCCCUUCGGGGGAAAGAUUUAUCGCCAUUAGAGCGGCCCGCGUCUGAUUAGCUAGUUGGUGGGGUAACGGCUCACCAGGGCGACGAUCAGUAGCUGGUCUGAGAGGAUGACAAGCCACACUGGGACUGAGACACGGCCCAGACUCCUACGGGAGGCAGCAGUAGGGAAUCUAGCGCAAGGGGCGAAAGCGUGACGCAGCCAUGCCGCGUGAAUGGUGAAGGUCUUAGGAUUGUGAUAUUCUUUCACCGGGGACGAUAAUGACGGUACCCGGUGAAGAAGCCCCGGCUAACUUCGUG
rnacentral:rRNA from 1 species